rnacentral:tRNA from 1 species
GUCGGGGUAGCUCAGAUGGUUAGAGCGCACGCUUCAUAAGUGUGAGGUCGAGAGUUCGAUCCUCUCCCCCGACA